rnacentral:rRNA from 1 species
ACGGGAGCAGCAGUGGGGAAUAUUGCACAAUGGGCGAAAGCCUGAUGCAGCUAUGCCGCGUGUAUGAAGAAGGCCUUAGGGUUGUAAAGUACUUUCAUCGGGGAGGAAAAACAAAACUAAUAAUUUUAUUUCUUGACGUUACCCGAAAAAGAAGCACCGGCUAACUCCGUGCCAGCAGCCGCGGUAAUACGGAGGGUGCUAGCGUUAAUCAGAAUUACUGGGCGUAAAGAGCACGUAGGUGGUUUUUUUAAGUCAGAUGUGAAAUCCCUGGGCUUAACCUAGGAACUGCAUUUUGAAACUGAAAUACUAGAGUAUCGUAGAGGGAGGUAGAAUUCUAGGUGUAGCGGUGAAAUGCGUAGAUAUCUGGAGGAAUACCUGUGGCGAAAGCGGCCUCCUAAACGAAUACUGACACUGAGGUGCGAAAGCGUGGGGAGCAAACAGGGAUUAGAUACC